UAAGUUGUUGCAGUUAAAAAGCUCGUAGAAUGUC
rnacentral:rRNA from 1 species